rnacentral:lncRNA from 1 species
AUUCCGGGAAGAGAAUUCCUGUUUGGGUGGCAGGGCAUGCUAUAUGGCUCCACUCCUUUGAAACAAAAGUGUGUGCAUGCCUGGCUGACUGCUGGGAAUUCUUCCCACACCCCAACACACCCCUACACCACUCUGCCCUGCCAUCUAGGUUCAUUCUGGAGAUUGCCAGAAUGAAUCAGUCUGUCUAGCUGGGUCCCUAGGACCACACGGGUUGGGACUCAGAUCAGUGUCUUGCUUAGCCAUCCUCAGGGAAGCUGCUUCUUGCGGUAGAAGGGAACUACUCAGGGGACCCACAGCUGAGCAGUGACUCUGGAACACUCCAUCCUAAAUGGUGGCGUCUUCAUCGACAUCUUCAGAGACAACAGGAACCACGCACAUCAGAGACGGGCAGCACAGGCCCAAGCAAGAUGGGGUCUCAGCACCGAGGAGGAACUGAACACAGCCUCCCUGCCCACCCAAACACAGGCUUUCCAGCUGAUCCACACUCCCAUGUGAAGGACGUGUUUAUUGAUGUUGGAUAUCCUAUCGUGGCUAUGGAACCCAGCCUGGUCAGUGUGCCCUAAAUCAGGUUAUCACCUUCUGCUCUGCUCUCCUGCUUACCCAGGAUUUUCUGAACUCCAACAACCUCCCUUGGGUCACUGUUUUCUCUGUUACACUUGUGUAUUAGAGCACACUGGAAUAGAAGCACGGUUGUCCACAGCGUCCUCAGAGCCUUGGCUGAAGCAGGCGUUUCUUCCCACCCCUCCUCCACUUACUGUGCACGUCGUCCUCGGCAUCUGACUCUUCCAGAGAGACCUGAGGUUGGGCUUUCACCUCCAGAUUUCUGCUGAGCCAGCUUGUUUGUUCCAAGGAGGAGCCAGCGAUGGUACCUACAGCUUCCAGGAUUCUCUGAGUGAUUUCCUGGAGAGCCAGCAGAAGCAAGACUUAAUUAAGGAGAAGAAAAGAGCCGGUGCAUACCACUGUCUGACAGGUACAGGGCACGGGCCACCGCGUGAGUCACCGUGGCACCAGUAGACUUUCAAUGAGCCACGCUGAGAGGCGAAAAGCAGCUGGGGUGACAGAUUUUAGUAACAGGUUCUCUACCUACAAAUAUUCCAAUAUAAACAUCAGCAUCACACUCUGCAGCUGUCUCCUACCCUGGCUGGCUUUGGACUCCUGUGGGUACUGCAUGCUUACAACGACCAGGAUCUUCUCUCAGCACGUGGUAUUGUGGCUCUGCUCUCUACCAGCCGACGGGUAAAGUCUGCAGGACUGAUGGGAAAGGCCGGCUUUCUGGUUCUCCUGGAUUGUGGUUCAUGCUGGUAUGAACUAAACACUACAGGACACCACUGUUACUAAGCUGCUGGACUUGAGACUUUACAAAGUUUCGUGGACUGCCAGGCCACACCAACAGUCGGCCGAGUCACUCGUGCUGACUCCGUGUACACUGGCAGGGUGGCGAAGCUCCUUCUGCCUUGAUCCUCACAUAGAAGCAAGACAACAUGGACUAUCCUGCUGCUGCCUGCCUGCCUGCCCUCCGCUCCCGAGAAGCAGAGCCUGGGGGGCAGAUUUAUCCUUUAGUCUUGUUCCCCUCAGCCUGUCUCUGUCUGCAGAACCGGUGGCCUCUGCUGAGCUCACCAGAACACUUACUACUUACUCUCUUUUAUGGGAUGAAGCAUGGCCUUAUUCUAGACUCACAGUAGAGCCAGUCAAGAUCUUUAUAAACAGUGCUGCGUGCUGUUGUGCAUGACUGAAACGCCAACACUUGGUAGGCAGGGAGAGGGAGCGUUCAGCCAGGGCUAUACAGAGAGACUGUAUCUUAAACAAAGAUAUCGUUAAAAUAAAUUGCUGUAGUUUUGCUAAUUGCAUAACAAA